CUGCGCGUCCGGAGCCUGUGCUCCGCAACGGGAGAGGCCACAACGGUCUGAAAUUUUCAUAAUAAAAAGUUAGAGGCGAAAGGCAGUUUGUCUCCUGGAGAGAAAUGUCACCAAUGGCAUUUAGAAUAACAUUUCCCCCUCUUUCCUGGCUUACAAGCAUCUCUCAGCACCUUCCUGUGUGAGGGGACACGGGUUCGAUCCCUGGUACAUGCCACAUGCCGUGGAGCAACUAAG